AUGCUGUCAACGCUGAGUAAAUCUGCACGGCUCAACCAAACACGAUUCAUUCGUCUUUCGCAUUCUGCUGCUGCUGCAAAAGAUGCAAAACCGAAGAAGGUCGCUGCAGUGGACAGUCCAUCAUUUGUCAUGAAUCUUUUCAGAGGGAAAGCUGUGACUGACCAGGUGUUUCCGUAUCCUCUGAAUAUGACUGACGAACAGAAAGAAACUCUUGGAAUGGUGAUGUCUCCACUGGAAAAGAUGCUUGUCGAAGUUAAUGACGUCGUAAAAAAUGACGAGACUUCUGACAUUCCAAGAGCAGUUUUGGACCAAUUCGCUGAGCUAGGAACAUUUGGUGUACUCGUUCCACCAGAGCUUGAAGGUUCCGGAUUCAACAAUUCUCAGAUGGCCAGAGUCGCUGAAAUUGUUGGAGCUUACGAUCUUGGAUUUGGUGUUGUCAUGGGUGCUCAUCAGUCGAUUGGCUACAAAGGAAUCCUUCUCGAGGGUACGGAUGCUCAGAAACAAAAAUAUCUUCCCGAUUUGGCAACUGGACGCAAAUUUGCUGCUUUCGCUCUUACCGAGCCAACUACCGGAUCUGAUGCUAGUUCAGUUAGAACGAGAGCUGAAUUGUCUGCUGAUGGUAAGCACUACGUUUUGAAUGGUGGAAAAAUCUGGAUUUCGAACGGAGGAUUCGCCGAUGUUUUCACUGUGUUUGCUCAGACUCCUGUCAAGCAGGCCGAUGGCUCAACAAAGGACAAGAUGUCUGCAUUCAUUGUCGAAAGAGCGUUUGGUGGAGUCACCAGUGGACCACAAGAGAAGAAAAUGGGAAUCAAGGGAUCGAACACAACUGAAGUUCACUUUGAUAAUUUAAAAAUCCCGGUUGAAAAUCUUCUUGGAAAAGAAGGAGAAGGCUUCAAGGUGGCGAUGAACAUUCUUAAUAACGGAAGAUUCGGAAUUCCAGCUGCCUGUACUGGAGCUAUGAAACAUUGUAUCCAGAAGACUGUCGAUCACAUCACCACUCGUGUUCAGUUUGGAAAGAAACUUCAAGAAUUUGGAAAUAUCCAAGAAAAGCUGGUAGAAAUGAUCUCGAAACUGUAUGCAACAGAGUCAAUUGUCUAUAUGCUUUCAUCAAACAUGGAUCGUGGAAUUAAGGAGUAUCAACUUGAAGCAGCUAUCGGCAAGAUUCAGCUAAAGUAUUGGAUCAGCAAAUUGCUUUGUUUGGACAAACAGUUCAAGGAUUACUCAUGAAGCAUAAAAAGGGAAUAAUUGAUCGUCAAUAUGAGAUGCACCGUGUUGCCGACGCUGCCAUCAACAUUUACAGCUCUGCCGCUGUUCUUUCUCGUGCCACCUAUGCCAUCAAGAACAAAUCUUCAAGUGCUGAUUUUGAACGCAAAGUUGCUACUUACUACGUUGAUAAGGCGAUGAAAUCAUCAAACAGAUUCCUGAAGGAUGCCGGAAGUGGUGUUGAGAAUGCUUCGAAGGUAGCAACAAUUGAAUCAUUGGCGAAGGAAGUCUGUGGAAAUGGAGGACUCACUCUUCAACAUCCAGUUGAAUUGUAA
rnacentral:misc_RNA from 1 species